UCUAAUAAUGAUAAGCUUCGAUAGCGAGGCAGCUAAAAUUUGAGUGCACAGUAUAUUUAUCGCUCAAAAGUCACGCUUCCAGGAAGUGCAAUGCGUUUUAGUACUUUCGAACAGAGCACGACGUCGGGGCCUGGAAUAUGUAAGGAGCCUCAGUACGUUCAAGUUUAUUUCGCCGGCAAGUGUGCGUCUUGUAUGAAUUUUGAGCGAUAGUACAAAAUUCCUUGAUGGUAUCGAAAAUGAAAUUGAAAAUUGUUUCCAUCUCAAUACUAAUUGCUACUUUAGCCGUUGCCUUCGCCGACGUGAGAUCGUACAAUGGUGUACUCAACGAAACCAUAUCGCUGAGCGACGUCAGAGAUAAAGUUUACAUCCACUGACAGGUGGUUGUCAGAAUGAUAUCGUAAACGAGAAUGUUGUAACUUUUUGUAAAACGAAUGAAUAAAUGAAAAUGCUGAUGAA